rnacentral:rRNA from 1 species
UACGAAGGGGGCUAGCGUUGCUCGGAAUUACUGGGCGUAAAGGGCGCGUAGGCGGCCCUGUUAGUCAGGCGUGAAAUUCCUGGGCUCAACCUGGGGACUGCGCUUGAUACGGCAGAGCUUGAGGAUGGAAGAGGGUCGCGGAAUUCCCAGUGUAGAGGUGAAAUUCGUAGAUAUUGGGAAGAACACCGGUGGCGAAGGCGGCGACCUGGUCCAUUACUGACGCUGAGGCGCGACAGCGUGGGGAGCAAACAGG